GGCAGGCUUAACACAUGCAAGUCGAGGGGUAACAUUGUGCUUGCACAGAUGACGACCGGCGAACGGGUGCGUAACGCGUAUAGAAUCUGCCUUGUACAGGAGGAUAGCCUUUAGAAAUGAAGAUUAACACUCCAUAAUGUAUAGAAGAGGCAUCUCUUUUAUAUUAAAUAUUUAUAGGUACAAGAUGACUAUGCGUCCUAUUAGCUAGAUGGUAAGGUAACGGCUUACCAUGGCAACGAUAGGUAGGGGGUCUGAGAGGAUUAUCCCCCACACUGGUACUGAGACACGGACCAGACUCCUACGGGAGGCAGCAGUGAGGAAUAUUGGUCAAUGGAGGCAACUCUGAACCAGCCAUGCCGCGUGCAGGAUGACUGCCCUAUGGGUUGUAAACUGCUUUUAUACAGGAAGAAACCGUGCUACGUGUAGCACCUUGACGGUACUGUAAGAAUAAGGACCGGCUAACUCCGUGCCAGCAGCCGCGGUAAUACGGAGGGUCCAAGCGUUAUCCGGAAUCAUUGGGUUUAAAGGGUCCGCAGGCGGUCAAUUAAGUCAGAGGUGAAAGCCCAUCGCUCAACGAUGGAACUGCCUUUGAUACUGGUUGACUUGAGUUAUACGGAAGUAGAUAGAAUAAGUAGUGUAGCGGUGAAAUGCAUAGAUAUUACUUAGAAUACCGAUUGCGAAGGCAGUCUACUACGUAUAUACUGACGCUCAUGGACGAAAGCGUGGGGAGCGAACAGGAUUAGAUACCCUGGUAGUCCACGCCGUAAACGAUGGAUACUAGUUGUUGGGUUUCGACUCAGUGACUAAGCGAAAGUGAUAAGUAUCCCACCUGGGGAGUACGGUCGCAAGACUGAAACUCAAAGGAAU
rnacentral:rRNA from 1 species